GGUUGACCUCGGAUCAGGUAGGGAUACCCGCUGAACUUAAGCAUAUCAAUAAGCGGAGGAAAAGAAACCAACAGGGAUUGCCCCAGUAACGGCGAGUGAAGCGGCAAGAGCUCAAAUUUGAAAGCUGACUCCUUCGGGGUCCGCAUUGUAAUUUGCAGAGGAUGCUUCGGGAGCGGUCCCCAUCUAAGUUCCCUGGAACGGGACGUCAUAGAGGGUGAGAAUCCCGUAUGGGAUGGGGUGUCCGCGCCCGUGUGAAGCUCCUUCGACGAGUCGAGUUGUUUGGGAAUGCAGCUCUAAAUGGGUGGUAAAUUUCAUCUAAAGCUAAAUAUUGGCCGGAGACCGAUAGCGCACAAGUAGAGUGAUCGAAAGAUGAAAAGCACUUUGAAAAGAGAGUUAAAAAGCACGUGAAAUUGUUGAAAGGGAAGCGCUUGCGACCAGACUCGCUCGCGGGGUUCAGCCGGCAUUCGUGCCGGUGUACUUCCCCGCGGGCGGGCCAGCGUCGGUUUGGGCGGUCGGUCAAAGGCCCUCGGAAGGUAACGCCCCCAGGGGCGUCUUAUAGCCGAGGGUGCAAUGCGACCUGCCUAGACCGAGGAACGCGCUUCGGCUCGGACGCUGGCAUAAUGGUCGUAAGCGACC
rnacentral:rRNA from 1 species